GACGAACGCUGGCGGCGUGCCUAAUACAUGCAAGUAGAACGCUGAAGCUUGGUGCUUGCACCGAGCGGAUGAGUUGCGAACGGGUGAGUAACGCGUAGGUAACCUGCCUGGUAGCGGGGGAUAACUAUUGGAAACGAUAGCUAAUACCGCAUAAGAGUAGAUGUUGCAUGACAUUUGCUUAAAAGGUGCAAUUGCAUCACUACCAGAUGGACCUGCGUUGUAUUAGCUAGUUGGUGAGGUAACGGCUCACCAAGGCAACGAUACAUAGCCGACCUGAGAGGGUGGUCGGCCACACUGGGACGGAGACACGGCCCAGACUCCUACGGGAGGCAGCAGUAGGGAAUCUGCGGCAAUGGACGGAAGUCUGACCGAGCAACGCCGCGUGAGUGAAGAAGGUUUUCGGAUCGUAAAGGUCUGUUGUAAGAGAAGAACGAGUGUGAGAGUGGAAAGUUCACACUGUGACGGUAUCUUACCAGAAAGGGACGGCUAACUACGUG
rnacentral:rRNA from 1 species